UACGUAGGGCGCAAGCGUUGUCCGGAAUUAUUGGGCGUAAAGAGCUCGUAGGCGGUUUGUCGCGUCUGCUGUGAAAGUCCGGGGCUCAACUCCGGAUCUGCGGUGGGUACGGGCAGACUAGAGUGAUGUAGGGGAGACUGGAAUUCCUGGUGUAGCGGUGAAAUGCGCAGAUAUCAGGAGGAACACCGAUGGCGAAGGCAGGUCUCUGGGCAUUAACUGACGCUGAGGAGCGAAAGCAUGGGGAGCGAACAGG
rnacentral:rRNA from 1 species